GACGAACGCUGGCGGCGUGCUUAACACAUGCAAGUCGAACGAUGAACCCGGAGCUUGCUCCGGUGGAUUAGUGGCGAACGGGUGAGUAACACGUGAGUAACCUGCCCUUGACUCUGGGAUAACUGCGGGAAACUGUAGCUAAUACCGGAUACGACACCUUGGGGCAUCCCAGGGUGUGGAAAGAAUUUCGGUCAAGGAUGAGCUCGCGGCCUAUCAGCUAGUUGGUGAGGUAAUGGCUCACCAAGGCGACGACGGGUAGCCGGCCUGAGAGGGUGACCGGCCACACUGGAACUGAGACACGGUCCAGACUCCUACGGGAGGCAGCAGUGGGGAAUAUUGCACAAUGGGCGAAAGCCCGAUGCAGCAACGCCGCGUGAGGGAUGAAGGCCUUCGGGUUGUAAACCUCUUUUAGCAGGGAAGAAGCGAAAGUGACGGUACCUGCAGAAAAAGCACCGGCUAACUACGUGCCAGCCGCCGCAGUAA
rnacentral:rRNA from 1 species